rnacentral:tRNA from 28 species
UAGAGUACUCGGCUUUUAA